UUCUCUGUGGCGAAAUCGAUUAGCGCGUUCGGCUGUUAACCGAAAGUUUGGUGGUUGAGCCCACCCAGGGACG
rfam:Loxodonta africana unplaced genomic scaffold scaffold_209, whole genome shotgun sequence.